UAUAGCAGCCACAUCACCCUGCAACUCACAACUGGCAACCCACUGAAGCUCAGCAGGUGUGAGCCUGGUCAGUACCUGGAUGGGAGACCUCCUGGGAAAAACUAAGGCUGCUGCUGGAA
rnacentral:rRNA from 1 species